UGGGGAAUAUUGGACAAUGGGGGAAACCCUGAUCCAGCAAUGCCGCGUGAGUGAAGAAGGCCUUAGGGUUGUAAAGCUCUUUCGCCCGCGAAGAUAAUGACGGUAGCGGGAGAAGAAGCCCCGGCUAACUCCGUGCCAGCAGCCGCGGUAAUACGUAGGGUGCGAGCGUUAAUCGGAAUUACUGGGCGUAAAGCGUGCGCAGGCGGCUUUGUAAGACAGAUGUGAAAUCCCCGGGCUCAACCUGGGAACUGCAUUUGUGACUGCAAGGCUAGAGUGCGUCAGAGGGAGGUGGAAUUCCGCGUGUAGCAGUGAAAUGCGUAGAGAUGCGGAGGAACACCGAUGGCGAAGGCAGCCUCCUGGGAUGACACUGACGCUCAUGCACGAAAGCGUGGGGAGCAAACA
rnacentral:rRNA from 1 species